AACGAACGCUGGCGGCAUGCCUAACACAUGCAAGUCGAACGAGACCUUCGGGUCUAGUGGCGCACGGGUGCGUAACGCGUGGGAACCUGCCCUUAGGUUCGGAAUAACUCCCCGAAAGGGGUGCUAAUACCGGAUAAUGUCUUCGGACCAAAGAUUUAUCGCCUUUGGAUGGGCCCGCGUUGGAUUAGCUAGUUGGUAGGGUAAAAGCCUACCAAGGCGACGAUCCAUAGCUGGUCUGAGAGGAUGAUCAGCCACACUGGGACUGAGACACGGCCCAGACUCCUACGGGAGGCAGCAGUGGGGAAUAUUGAACAAUGGGCGAAAGCCUGAUCCAGCAAUGCCGCGUGAGUGAUGUAGGCCUUAGGGUUGUAAAGCUCUUUUACCCGGGAUGAUAAUGACAGUACCGGGAGAAUAAGCUCCGGCUAACUCCGUG
rnacentral:rRNA from 1 species